rnacentral:rRNA from 1 species
UUUUACAAUGGAGAGUUUGAUCCUGGCUCAGGAUGAACGCUAGCUACAGGCUUAACACAUGCAAGUCGAGGGGAAACGACAUCGAAAGCUUGCUUUUGAUGGGCGUCGACCGGCGCACGGGUGAGUAACGCGUAUCCAACCUGCCCAUCACUUGGGAAUAACCUUGCGAAAGUAAGACUAAUACCCAAUGACAUCCCACGAAGGCAUCCGAAUGGGAUUAAAGAUUUAUCGGUGAUGGAUGGGGAUGCGUCUGAUUAGCUUGUUGGCGGGGUAACGGCCCACCAAGGCAACGAUCAGUAGGGGUUCUGAGAGGAAGGUCCCCCACAUUGGAACUGAGACACGGUCCAAACUCCUACGGGAGGCAGCAGUGAGGAAUAUUGGUCAAUGGGCGAGAGCCUGAACCAGCCAAGUAGCGU